rnacentral:rRNA from 1 species
AACGAACGCUGGCGGCAUGCCUAACACAUGCAAGUCGAACGAUGCCUUCGGGCAUAGUGGCGCACGGGUGCGUAACGCGUGGGAAUCUGCCCUCGGCUGCGGAAUAACAGUUAGAAAUGACUGCUAAUACCGGAUGAUGUCCCCCUGAGAGAUCUUGGGGACCAAAGAUUUAUCGGCCAGGGAUGAGCCCGCGUAGGAUUAGGUAGUUGGUGGGGUAAAGGCCUACCAAGCCGACGAUCCUUAGCUGGUCUGAGAGGAUGAUCAGACACACUGGGACUGAGACACGGCCCAGACUCCUACGGGAGGCAGCAGUGGGGAAUAUUGGACAAUGGGGGGAACCCUGAUCCAGCAAUGCCGCGUGAGUGAUGAAGGCCUUAGGGUUGUAAAGCUCUUUUAACAGGGAUGAUAAUGACAGUACCUGGAGAAUAAGCUCCGGCUAACUCCGUG